rnacentral:lncRNA from 1 species
AUUGCCACAACCACCCAACCUUCAGCAACAACAUCCUGAUCAGUCAGCAGCCAUCAACAUCAAGUUUCCAGAAAAAAGAGACAAGAAGCAGAAGCUACAUUAUGGGCUAAGGCAUGGCGCAAUGAGAAAACAAUCUGUGAGAGCAACUAAAGUUAUGAAGGUCAUGAUGGCAGCAACCACAAUGGAUAAAACUUGCAAAGAACCAUGGUGGUCCAGGUCACAUAGGAAAAGUGAGACGGAAUGAUCUGAUAAACUAGGCAACGUGGAACACAUUUUGAUCCUGUACCUUUUCAUCUAUGACAUCUAUUUUGUCGUAAUAUCACAUGAGUGGUGAGUCGCAGCUGGCACUCUUAGGAAUGUAGCAAAUGUUUCCUGUGGUACUUCUUAUUGAAAAAAGGAAGCAUCACAAGGGUGUGAAGAAAGAAAUAUCCCUAAGGAUGGCCAGAAAAAAAGAAGAGAGGUAGGACUACUAUUCCCAGCCCUGGAAACUCUGCUCUGUAACUCAGCCAAAGGAGACACCAAAUCAGAGUGGCUCUUCAGCAGCAUCACACUAUAGGAAAUAAGUUCCACAGGCCCCAUAGGCACACACCCUUAGCCAGCUUUCUCAUACUUCCAGGAUAUUCCCUUUAAAUCCUCCCCCAUUUGGGACUGGCAGCACUCUGAUCCUGAUCAAUUGCUGGGGAUGAGGCAAACCUCAGCUUAAAGUGCCAGCUAUUGCCAAAAAGGAGACAGCAACUUAGUAGAAAACAAAAUGAGACAUUCAAUAGAUAAAUUACAAAGAAUCUCUUAGGAAAUAAACCCAUUACAAAAUAAAACAAGCAAGAUAGAAAGCUAGAAUAAAUAAUCCUUCAAUGCAAAGACACACAUACAUCCAAAAGAAACAAUGGCAAACAGGAAACCAUGAUCUCCCCAAAGUAAUAAACCAGUGACUGGCCCUAACAAGAUAGUGAUAUGUGAGUACUCUUACUAUUUCCGGGGUCAAGCCAGAACUGGCUGCAUUUUCUCAAGGCCCAGUAAUGAGAAGAAAACUAGGAAAGAAGGAAAUUUAUUGCUGUAACUGGAUACAGGGAGAAGUCUGGAGACAAUCCCACCAGACCAACUCAAAGUGUUACAAUUUUCUUAGUGCUUGUAUAGGUUGGGGUUGUGUACCUAUGUGCAGUAUAGCAUUCGCCUAAGUCUACUGGUAACUAAUUUUGUUUGAACUGGAAGGUCUGAGGCAAAAAAAAAUGCUUGCUAAGUCCUAUUAAAAGGCCCUAGUACCUUAAAGCCCUGUCUACUGUGGUAACAGAAUAUGAUUAUUUCUAUCUUAUCUCUUUUAUAGCUUGGUCCUGAGAGCUGCCUUAGACUUUCCAAUAAAUCUAUUCAAACAGCUGCCUCUUUUACCUUGACUUGUCUCAGAUUUUGUCAACCCAAGAUGGGUCCUGGCACUAGGAAUGUAAAACUGUUUCUAUUAUUUUGGCUUGCUACAGCAAGGGAGAAGCCCAUGCAAGGCCCCUACUGACCAUAUGUUUCCUUUCUAGCUUUGAUGUUUGGGCACUGAUUUCCCUAGGUUUAACUAUUUGCUCAAUGUUAAGGCAGCACUGUGAAAAUUUGUCUGUAUCUGGGGUGCUAUGCAGGCCUGUCUGUGUGACUGUCAUGCAGGCCUGUCUCUGUGAUUG